rnacentral:rRNA from 1 species
AUGUGGCAUAAAGCACCAUGUUCAAGUAGGGAUUACAGCGGGGUGCGGGAGAGUGAACCACGUAAAAGAGAUGAGGGUGGUGAUCAUGAUGGUGAUGUUGAUGAAGAUGAUCACCGCGGCGAUGAUUCCCCUCUCGAUGGCACUUCGGUGCCACCAAGAGAGAGGAGGAGAGGUUCUCCCCCUUGUGCUUCCUCCUCCAUGGCCUCCCCCCUCUGGUCCUUGGCCUUCAUGGUGAUGAUGGCCCCUCCGAGAUCCUCCUCCAUGGCCACCGGUGAUGAUGGCCCCCUCCGGCAGGGUGCCGGAGAGGGCCUAGAUUGA